UACAGAGGUCUCAAGCGUUUGUUCGGAUUCAUUGGGCGUAAAGGGUGCGUAGGUGGCGCCGUAAGUCGGGUGUGAAAUUUCGGAGCUUAACUCCGAAACUGCAUUCGAUACUGCGGUGCUUUGAGGACUGGAGAGGAGACUGGAAUUCAUGGUGUAGCAGUGAAAUGCGUAGAGAUCAUGAGGAAGACCAGUGGCGAAGGCGGGUCUCUGGACAGUUCCUGACACUGAGGCGCGAAAGCUAGGGGAGCGAACGGG
rnacentral:rRNA from 1 species